rnacentral:rRNA from 1 species
CACGUAGGUGCGAGCGUUGUCCGGAAUUAUUGGCGUAAGAGCUCGUAGGCGGUGUGUCGCGUCGGCCGUGAAACCUGCAGCUUAACUGUGGCUUGCGGUCGAUACGGGCAUCACUGGAGUUCGGCAGGGGAGACUGGAAUUCCGGGUGUAGCGGUGGAAUGCGUAGAGAUCCGGAAGAACACCGGAGGCGAAGGCGGCUGCUGGGCUUGGUCUGACGCUGAGCGCGAAAGCGUGGGAGCGAACAGG